GGGGAAACCGGGGCGUAGCUCAGAUGGUAGAGCGCUCGCUUUGCAUGCGAGAAGUACGGGGAUUGAUGACCUGCCCCUCCA